rnacentral:rRNA from 1 species
GCCGCGUGCGGGAUGAAGGCCUUCGGGUUGUAAACCGCUUUUGAUUGGGAGCAAGCCUUCGGGUGAGUGUACCUUUCGAAUAAGCGCCGGCUAACUACGUGCCAGCCGCCGCGGUAAU